rnacentral:rRNA from 1 species
AAUCGAAUGAUGCAGCGGCACCACAUGGUGAUGUUGUUAAAGUCUAUAUGACGCUAAAGAUGGGCUUGCGUCUGAUUAGCUAGUUGGUGAGGUAACGGCCCACCAAGGCUACGAUCAGUAGCUGGUCUGAGAGGAUGAUCAGCCACACUGGAACUGAGACACGGUCCAG